rnacentral:rRNA from 1 species
UACGGAGGGUGCAAGCGUGGUCCGGAAUUAUUGGGCGUAAAGCGCGCGCAGGCGGUCCUUUAAGUCUGAUGUGAAAGCCCACGGCUCAACCGUGGAGGGUCAUUGGAAACUGGGGGACUUGAGUACAGAAGAGAAGAGUGGAAUUCCACGUGUAGCGGUGAAAUGCGUAGAGAUGUGGAGGAACACCAGUGGCGAAGGCGACUCUUUGGUCUGUAACUGACGCUGAGGCGCGAAAGCGUGGGGAGCAAACAGG